AACGCGAAGAACCUUACCUGGGCUUGAACUACUGGUAGUAAGUCCUUGGAAACAGGGGCUGAUCCGCAAGGAAGCCAGCAGAGGUGCUGCAUGGUUGUCGUCAGCUCGUGUCGUGAGAUGUUGGGUUAAGUCCCGCAACGAGCGCAACCCCUAUCCAAUGUUGCUAAUCCCGUAAGGGAUGCACUCUUUGGAAACUGCCUUCGAUAAGAAGGAGGAAGGUGGGGACGACGUCAAAUCCUCAUGGCCCUUAUGUCCAGGGCCACACACGUGUUACAAUGGCCGGUACAAUGGGAAGCAAUACCGCAAGGUGGAGCCAAACCCCUAAAGCCGGCCCCAGUUCAGAUUGUGGGCUGCAACUCGCCCACAUGAAGGCGGAAUCGCUAGUAAUCGCUGAUCAGCAGGCAGCGGUGAAUACGUUCCCGGGCCUUGUA
rnacentral:rRNA from 2 species